CUUUAGAGAACACUGGUUAAUAUGACAUGUCCACCGUAGUUACAUAGAACACCGAGAUUAAACAGUCAUGUACGUUAUGGUCCUCAGAUGAUGGAACAUGUCAGUAUGCCACUCUGCUAAAGAGCUAUUGGCAGUUGAAGGCUGCUGGGAGAGAAGAGCCAUUUUCUCCAAGAAUGUUGCCCCUGGAAAGCUUUUUAGAAAAGGACUCAUGAAGCAUGGAGGAAGUUCCUGGGCUUGAUCCCCAGCACAACCCUGCAUAAACCAGGCUCAGGCCUGUAAUUCUAGAACCAUGGGGGUUAAGGCAGGAAGAUCAGAAGUUCAACUCCAUUUCUCAGCUACUCAGUGCACGCUGUCUUCUGAACUCUCCCAUCACGCAGCAGAAGCUCUCCAGUGUGCAUCACAGCCACCCUCUGGUGAGCAUGCGCGAGGCCAGCUUUCCUUUUCAGAAGGCAGUGCCUGUCUGGAGAGGUCCCUCUUCACCUGUCCCAGUAGAUGGCAUUCAGAGAGAGGGAAGGAACAAGGGCUAUUGCCAGGAAUAGAGCAAAGACGAAGGCACCCAAUGUAGGGCACCCCUGGAGCCUACAAACGUGCUGUGUACCAGAAAGAAUCAGCCUCCCACCAGCAGUCAUGGUGACAGUCAGGACCUGCCUGGGAAGUCAUCCAGGACCCAAGAAGCAGCAUUGGACUUAGCACAGAACAAAAAAUAAUAAUUG
rnacentral:lncRNA from 1 species